rnacentral:lncRNA from 1 species
AGGUGGGCGUGGCUGCCCAGCCUCGCGGCCUUUGCAGCCUGGAGACCGCAGCCCGCCGGCGCCCCGCUCGCACUGCCGCCGCCGCCUCUUGCGGCAGUUGCGGGGUGCGGCGCCGGUGCCAACCUCUUGCAGAGCUGGGCGCCUCGCGCAGGCGCGCUCCCCGCGCCGCCGGAAGUGACGGUUCCGGCCCGUGUCACGUGGAAAAGGAAUGGGGGGACAUCGUGGUGGGGGCUGGGGAUAGGAGUGGAGUCUGGGGUCCGGGUUAGGAACAGGAGGUGGUGCAAACGCGGAUCGGCGGGGCUGCUCGGUUCGGGAUUGUGUGUGUCGCUCUGGGGGUCUUGAAAUGCCGCCAGCGACUUGUCCCACUCGCGGAAACGUCCCGCUUCGAGCCCGUUUUCCAGACUCUGUCCCGAGAGGAUCGGUUUUCCGGGCGCCCCGGAGCGUGGGCGGAGGAGCAACACGGAGCUCGCAGGUUCCCGUAAGACGACUUGCAAAGCCCAGGUGUUCUCGCACUGUACCGGAUGUUUGCUCUCGGAAGCGUUCUGCGGUUCAAGAAUUGCUUAGAAGAGAGCUUUAAAGGCCUUCUGUGUGCCAUGUAGGAGCCGUGCGGUUGUGUUCAGAGCAGCACCGGACCUACUUCUUUGGACAGAUAACAAAGGUGUUUACUGAAACAGCGCCUGCUUGAUGUUCACUGAUAAAGUAGUCCUGAGUCAGCCUCUGAAGAUAAAAGGGCAAUCUUGCACUCUCAGUAACCUCAGUUUGGCAAGGAAAAGGAAUUUAUAUGUUCUUCACAUUUUAUUAAAACAUCCUUUCAUUCUCAUGCAAGUAUAUUAUCUGUUGAGUUCCCAUGUUGGACCCAUAUUUUAGCACAUUUGCGUAUUAAGUCACUGGCAUUGGAAGUAACAGGCAUUACUGGAAGGCAGAUGUUACUGGAGGCGUUGGAAGUUACAGGUAAUACAAUAAUAUUUAAUUGGUAGUUCAUAUUAAUUUUCAUAGAUAUUCCUAGGGAAUCACCAAUUCAAAUGAAUCUUACUGACAGGGGAAGUCAGGAUGUGUGGCAAAUAAUGCAGACACCGCUGCAGAAUAGCUUCAAAUCAGCAUUCUUGCUAUAUACCGCAGCAGGAGCUGAACUCUUGCCAUGACAGUAAACGAGUACUGUGAACUGAAUUCUGCUACUGCAGAGUAGGCAGCUGUUCUCAGCUUAAAAGGGAAAUCAAUUGCUACUCUAUUGCCAUUUAAUAUCACUAUUCACUGGUUCAAAAACGUCUCAAAUGAGAAAAUUUGAAACAAAUAAUUGCAGAAAUCAAAGCCUGAGGCAGAAUACUCUUCACCACAGGGCUUCUUCAUUUCUUUCUUGAAUGCAAGAAACGUGUGAAAUUCCCACUAUAAACUAAACCCAGAUAUACAAUGAAGGGCAAAAAGAAAAUUAAGGCAAGAUCUUUGAUUUUAAAUAGAUUUCAUUUUUAUGGAUUGGC